CAGUAGCCCAUUCAUUUCUAGUGAGACUGUCAACCAUGACGGAUCAGGUACUGAUCACUGAUGUCGAUGUGUUCACUGACCUCGACGAUAUAACAUUAUCACAGGCCGUAGAUAAGUAUGAGUAUGAACUUGAAGAUAGUGACACGGUAUCUACUGACAUUGGAAUAGUUGAUACCAAGGAAUUAACUCAGCCAAUUGUUGUAAAUGAACUGAAUGGUAAUGUGAAAAACAUGUGAAAGGCUGCAGGAUUCGAGGGAAAUUACAUAAACCAUUCCGGAAAGAGGACCUGCGCUAUUUCCCUUUACCAAGCAGGUUUUGAUGAACAACUCAUUAUGGACAGAACGGUACAUCGCAGCAGGGCUGUACGUGCAUACAAGGUGAAGAAAGAAGACGGAAAUUUUCUAAACGGCACUCGUAUUUCAUUAAAUUUUGUUUGAAAUGCA